rnacentral:misc_RNA from 1 species
UGGCUCUCGCAUCGAUGAAGAACGCAGCGAAAUGCGAUAAGUAAUGUGAAUUGCAGAAUUCAGUGAAUCAUCGAAUCUUUGAACGCACCUUGCGCCACGUGGUAUUCCACGGGGCACGCCUGUUUGAGUGUCACGUAAACCCAUCGCGUCGUGGACUGUCAUGGUCUGCGGGGCGGAUUUGGACGCUGCCGUCGUUGGCUCGUCUCGAAAUACAUUAGCUGUCUUAUGACGCGCGCCGUUGGUGUGAUAAUUUGCUUUACGCCGCUGGUGAGUGACUGUAGAAGGCUUAUAACCGCCCGCAAGGGCAACCAUCUUAACGCUUUGGCCUCAAAUCAGGUGGGACUACCCGCUGA